GGACUGGGGGAACCCUGCUCCGCACUGCCGCGUGAGCGAAGAAGGCCUUCGGGCUGUAAAGCCCUUUUGUCAGGGAAGAAACACCGGCUCUAACACAGUCCGGGAAUGACGGUACCUGAAGAAUAAGCACCGGCCAACCACGCGCCAGCAGCCGCGGUAAUACGUAGGGUGCAAGCGUUAAUCGGAAUCACUGGGCGUAAAGCGUGCGCAGGCGGUUAUACAAGACAGGCGUGAAAUCCCCGGGCUUAACCUGGGAAUGGCGCCUGUGACUGUAUAGCUAGAGUGUGUCAGAGGGGGGUAGAAUCCCACGUGUAGCAGUGAAAUGCGUAGAUAUGUGGAGGAAUACCAAUGGCGAAGGCAGCCCCCUGGGAUAACACUGACGCUCAUGCACGAAA
rnacentral:rRNA from 1 species